rfam:Ixodes scapularis strain Wikel colony gcontig_1107728721288, whole genome shotgun sequence.
UGGUUGCUUAAGACAGCAGGACGGUGGCCAGGGAAGUCGGAAGCCGCUAAGGAAUGUGUAACAACUCACCUGCCGAAGCAACCA